CCUACGGGAGGCAGCAGUGAGGAAUAUUGGUCAAUGGGCGUAAGCCUGAACCAGCCAAGUCGCGUGAGGGAUGAAGGUUCUAUGGAUCGUAAACCUCUUUUAUAAGGGAAUAAAGUGCGGAACGUGUCCCGUUUUGUAUGUACCUUAUGAAUAAGGAUCGGCUAACUCCGUGCAAGCAGCCGCGGUAAUACGGGGGAUCCGAGCUUUAUCCGGAUUUAUUGGGUUUAAAGGGUGCGUAGGUGGCCUUUUAGGUCGGCGGGGAAUGUCUGUGGCUAAACCAUAGAAUUGCCGUUGAUACUGGGAGGCUUGAUUAUGUUUGAGGCAGGCGGAAUGCGUGGUGUAGCGGUGAAAUGCUUAGAUAUCACGCAGAACCCCGAUUGCGAAGGCAGCCUGCCAAGCCAUGACUGACGCUGAUGCACGAAAGCGUGGGGAUCAAACAGGAUUAGAUACCCGGGUAGUC
rnacentral:rRNA from 1 species